GUCCACGCCGUAAACGAUGUCUACUAGCCGUUGGGUUCCUUGAGGACUUAGUGGCGCAGCUAACGCAAUAAGUAGACCGCCUGGGGAGUACGGUCGCAAGAUUAAAACUCAAAUGAAUUGACGGGGGCCCCGCACAAGCGGUGGAGCAUGUGGUUUAAUUCGACGCAACGCGAAGAACCUUACCAGGUCUUGACAUCCAGAGAACUUUCCAGAGAUGGAUUGGUGCCUUCGGGAACUCUGAGACAGGUGCUGCAUGGCUGUCGU
rnacentral:rRNA from 1 species